GCUGGGCAUGGUGGCUCAUGCCUGUAAUCCCAGCACUUUGGGAGGCUGAGGUUGGAGGAUCACUUGAGCCCAGGAGUUCCAGACCAGCCUGGGCAACAUAGUGAGACCCAGUCUCUU
ensembl:misc_RNA Metazoa_SRP Metazoan signal recognition particle RNA